CACAGAGAUGAUCACAACACUGAAGAAA
rnacentral:piRNA from 1 species